AUGAAAUAUCUGGGAGUUCCUGUUACUUACUCUGCUCUCAAGAAUGCGGAUCUAGAUUUCCUUGAUGGUAAAAUGAUCAAAAAGCUUGAUGCCUGGGUAGCUUAUGCAGCAUCUUCUGGAGCCAGGCUGACUCCGUUAGGGUCCAGUUUGGAUGGGAUUCCUUCUUUCCUUAUGUCAAUGUUCCUUUUCAAUAAAACUUUUAUUGAAAAGUUGGAUAAACAUCGCAGACGUUUCUUUUGGAGGAGAAAAAAUAAGAAACAUGGGUACCACAUGGUUAAGUGGACGAGAGUAUGUCGAUCUAAAAAAAUUGGGGGACUAGGGAUUAAAGAUCUUCAUAAACAGAAUAUUGCCCUACUCACUAAAUGGUGGUGGAAAUUAGAAACGGGUGAUGGAUUAUGGCAGCGUAUAGUAAGAGCUAGAUAUUUCAGGAAUAAAAUAGUGGCUAACAUUCGGAGUCGCUUCUCGGACUCCCCCUGCUGGAAAGCCAUUAUGAAGGUCAAGGAAUCAUAUAUGAUGGGUAGAAAAAUUAAGAUCGAAAGUGGAAACCUUACUAGGGUCUGGUAUGACCCUUGGGUUGAGAAUAUUGCGUUGAAAGAUCGUUUUCCUGAUUUAUUUAGUAUAUGCCAGGAACACGAAUGCACUGUUGCAUCCUGGGCUGCAAGCAAUUAUGAUCUUGGCUUCAGACGUAGACUGGUUGGGGUGUUGGGCGAGCAGUGGGCUUGGAUGGUUAUGGAAGCUAAAAAACUGGCGUUGAACGACUCCCCAGAUAAGAUUCUAUGGGCCCUUGGCAGUAAAGGGAAAUUUACUACUAAAUCCUUAUAUGAAUGGUUGGAAAGGAACCUAUCAGGUCCUAACUAUAAGAUGGUGUGGAAAGCACCCAUUCCGCUGAAGAUUAAGAUUUUCCUUUGGCAGCUGUUUCAGAAUGCAGUUCUUACUCGUGAUAACAUGCGUAUUAGGAACUGGCCUGGAAAUCCCAUGUGCUCCUUCUGUACUAAUGUUGAAAUGGCAAAUCAUUUGUUCUUUACCUGCCCACUUGCUCGUUCGGUGUGGGGGGUGCUGGGCAUGACGGCCGGGGCAUCCUGCUAUCCUCGUUCUCUUUGGCAAAGCUUUGCUUGGCUUUAUAAGUUUUUCCGGGAUGGGAAGCAUCUUUAUAUGAUGAUCAUUGCUGCAAUAUGUUGGGGGAUUUGGACUCUCCGCAAUAAAGUUACAUUUGAUAAACAUGUUGUUCAUUCUCCUCUGGAGGCUGUUUUCACCGCCUGCUCGUUUAUGUUGUAUUGGGCAGGUUUGCUGAAGGAAGAAGAAAAGGUGAGGCUCCAGGCUGGAGUGAAGAGGUUGGCUCACGCAGCUGCUGCGCUGGCGGACAGAUCUAUCCCUCGAGGCAGACCUCUCUUAGGAGACAGAGAUGGGAUCCAGAUUGGUUAG
rnacentral:rRNA from 1 species